UGAUGUUGUGAUGAUGGGGAAAUGUUCAACUGCUCUGAAUGGGCUGAAUGAAAAUAGCCAUCUGAACAUCC